GGGCCGUGAGGAGGGUGUUGCACAUCUUGUGGUUGAGGUUCAAUCACGUCUCUCUGAUCCAACGGAUGGUAGCUCGUGCACCUGAGCUC